UACAGAGGUCUCAAGCGUUGUUCGGAUUCAUUGGGCGUAAAGGGUGCGUAGGUGGCGCUGUAAGUCGGGUGUGAAAUUUCGGAGCUUAACUCCGAAACUGCAUUCGAUACUGCGGUGCUUGAGGACUGGAGAGGAGACUGGGAAUUCAUGGUGUAGCAGUGAAAUGCGUAGAGAUCAUGAGGAAGACCAGUGGCGAAGGCGGGUCUCUGGACAGUUCCUGACACUGGAGGCACGAAGGCCAGGGGAGCAAACGGG
rnacentral:rRNA from 1 species